rnacentral:rRNA from 1 species
UGCCAGCCGCCGCGGUAAUACGAAGGGGGCUAGCGUUGUUCGGAAUUACUGGGCGUAAAGCGCAUGCAGGCGGAUUGUUAAGUCGGGGGUGAAAGCCCGAGGCUCAACCUCGGAACUGCCUUCGAUACUGGCAAUCUUGAGUCCGGGAGAGGUGAGUGGAACUCCGAGUGUAGAGGUGAAAUUCGUAGAUAUUCGGAAGAACACCAGUGGCGAAGGCGGCUCACUGGCCCGGUACUGACGCUGAGAUGCGAAAGCGUGGGGAGCAAACAGGAUUAGAUA